rnacentral:rRNA from 1 species
UACGUAGGCAGCGAGCGUUUGUUCGGAGUUACUGGGCGUAAAGGGUGCGCAGGCGGUGGAGCAAGUCUGAUGUGAAAUCUCCCGGCUUAACCGGGAGGGUGCGUUAGAAACUGUUCUGCUGGAGUGAGGGAGAGGCAAGCGGAAUUCCUGGUGUAGCGGUGAAAUGCGUAGAUAUCAGGAGGAACACCCGUGGUGCAGACGGCUUGCUGGACCUCCACUGACGCUGAGGCACGAAAGCGUGGGGAGCAAACAGG